rnacentral:rRNA from 1 species
AUACGUAGGGUGCGAGCGUUAUCCGGAAUCAUUGGGCGUAAAGAGCUCGUAGGCGGUUCAGCAAGUCGGCUGUGAAAGUUCGAGGCUCAACCUCGAAAUUGCAGUCGAUACUGCUGUGACUCGAGUCCGGUAGAGGAGAAUGGAAUUCUCGGUGUAGCGGUGAAAUGCGCAGAUAUCGAGAGGAACACCAGUAGCGAAGGCGGUUCUCUGGGCCGGCACUGACGCUGAGGAGCGAAAGCGUGGGGAGCAAACGGGAUUAGAAACCCUAGUAGUCC